rnacentral:rRNA from 1 species
UGGGGAAUCUUGGACAAUGGGGGAAACCCUGAUCCAGCCAUGCCGCGUGGAUGAUGAAGGCCCUAGGGUUGUAAAAUCCUUUCGUUGGGGACGAUAAUGACGGUACCCAAAGAAGAAGCUCCGGCUAACUUCGUGCCAGCAGCCGCGGUAAUACGAAGGGGGCUAGCGUUGUUCGGAUUUACUGGGCGUAAAGCGCGUGUAGGCGGACUGUUAAGUUGGGGGUGAAAUCCCGAGGCUCAACCUCGGAACUGCCUUCAAAACUGGCGGUCUGGAGUGAAGGAGAGGCGAGUGGAAUUCCGAGUGUAGAGGUGAAAUUCGUAGAUAUUCGGAGGAACACCAGUGGCGAAGGCGGCUCGCUGGCCUUUUACUGACGCUGAGACGCGAAAGCGUGGGGAGCAAACAGG